GACGUAGGGCGCGAGCGUUGUCCGGAAUUAUUGGGCGUAAAGAGCUCGUAGGCGGUUUGUCGCGUCGAAUGUGAAAACCCGGGGCUCAACUCCGGAUCUGCGGUGGGUACGGGCAGACUAGAGUGAUGUAGGGGAGACUGGAAUUCCUGGUGUAGCGGUGAAAUGCGCAGAUAUCAGGAGGAACACCGAUGGCGAAGGCAGGUCUCUGGGCAUUAACUGACGCUGAGGAGCGAAAGCAUGGGGAGCGAACAGG
rnacentral:rRNA from 1 species